GCGGUCUGCACGUCGUACCGCGGCAGGGAGGGGCAACCCUCCAGGUGGAAGGUGUAGAGCGUUUGAUCCGCCAUACCGGCGCGCUCCAUCAGCCGGCAGACCCACGGGUGGAGCUCGUCUUAGAAGGUUGGCGUCCAUCAGGUAGCGCAGGCUGAGCAGAGACGGGUGCAGCAGACUCUGCCGGCUGAUUGGAGGAAAAACAGGAAGCUGCAAGAGCAGGAUGAGCGCCUGAGCAUCACGAUGCACCACCCGGUGGGAAGGGAUGCUCUGUGGAGAAAAGCCAACGCACCCAACUUUAACUCCAGUAUUGAUUCCGUAUCAUUGCUGACCUGCACUCUGAAGAGAAGAGCGUCUUUGCCUCGCAGCUUCAUCUCAUCAGGAAGUUCCUGGUGAGCGUUGACGUACGGGACGUGACCGUCAUUCACCAGCCUGAGGACAAACAAGCCACUGGUUCCCUCCAGGCUUCAACCGACCUGCAGCUGUGUGUGUGUGUCGCUACCUGAGCAGGUCGCUGAGGGUCAGCGGCUCUCGGCUCCAGACCAGCGCCACGUGGAUCAGAGCCAGAGUCCUCUUCAUGCUCAGCAGACUCUGUCGGCUCGUCCUCAUGGAACCCGACAGCUGUCUCCGUCCGUCUCGCUGGAAUUCGCGGUGGACUCGGCGGCGCCGUCCGAGUCGACGUCCGACCCCGGCUGAGGAGAGAGCGGUGGUGUCAGCCAGAGUGAACUCACCCCUCCCACACUGGUCGGCCUCACGGGGUUGCUGGCGUACGCCUGGCGGCUCUUCUGCAGGAAGCUUCUCCACAGCUCACACAGAACCUCGUCCUGAAACCACAGCGUGCCGUCAGCCGCCCUGAAGCCCUCAUAUGAAAAACACCAAGGACGCCACGGACCUUGAAGCGGGGGCUGACCCCCAGUCGGACGAGGGCGUCGGCCUGGCUCCUCAGGAUGAACUGGAAGCCCUCACAGAGAACCCACUGCCGGCCGCGCUCUGACCAACACAAACACAGCAGGAGGUCCAAACUACUGAAGCGUUUUAUUUAAGAACAAAGUGAAUGUUGUGACUUUGUGUUGUUGGUGUAUAAAGACAUUCCCCAGAGCAAAAGA